rnacentral:rRNA from 1 species
AUUGAACGCUGGCGGCAUGCCUUACACAUGCAAGUCGAACGGUAACGCGGGGCAACCUGGCGACGAGUGGCGAACGGGUGAGUAAUACAUCGGAACGUGCCCAGUAGUGGGGGAUAGCCCGGCGAAAGCCGGAUUAAUACCGCAUACGACCUGAGGGUGAAAGCGGGGGACCGUAAGGCCUCGCGCGAUUGGAGCGGCCGAUGUCAGAUUAGGUAGUUGGUGGGGUAAAGGCUCACCAAGCCAACGAUCUGUAGCUGGUCUGAGAGGACGACCAGCCACACUGGGACUGAGACACGGCCCAGACUCCUACGGGAGGCAGCAGUGGGGAAUUUUGGACAAUGGGGGCAACCCUGAUCCAGCAAUGCCGCGUGCAGGAAGAAGGCCUUCGGGUUGUAAACUGCUUUUGUCAGGGAAGAAAUCUUCUGGGUUAAUACCUCGGGAGGAUGACGGUACCUGAAGAAUAAGCACCGGCUAACUACGUGCCAGCCGCCGCGGUAAGAC